rnacentral:rRNA from 1 species
AGAGUUUGAUCAUGGCUCAGGACGAACGCUGGCGGUGCGCCUUAUGCAUGCAAGUUGAGCGAAGCUUUUUGGUAGUUUACUACUAGAAAUGACUGAGCGGCGAACGGGUGAGUAACGCGUGAGCAAUCUACCUUAGUUACUGGGAUAGCCCGAGGAAACUCGGAUUAAUACCGGAUAUUCUUAUUUUUUCACAUGAAGUUUUAAGGAAAGGUCAGCCGAACUAAGAUGAGCUCGCGUUCUAUCAGCUAGUUGGUGGGGUAAAAGCCUACCAAGGCUACGACGGAUAGCUGGUCUGAGAGGACGAUCAGCCACACUGGGACUGAGACACGGCCCAGACUCCUACGGGAGGCUGCAGCAGGGAAUAUUGUGCAAUGAGCGAAAGCUUGACACAGCGACACCGCGUGUGGGAUGACGGUUCUAGGAUUGUAAACCACUUUCAGGAGGGAAGAAAAUGACGGUACCUCCACAAGAAGACCCGGCCAACUAUGUGCCAGCCGCCGCGGUAAUUC